UACAGGUUUUCAUGAUUUCAUUGUUUAAUGAGAAUUCCCCUUUAAAUCCAGUUGUAUUUGAUAAAGUACGAUGCACAUUGUCAGUGUAAAUAUAAAAACAGGAAUAUAAUUUUUUUAGUAUUUCACACAUAAAUAUAUAGGCUUUAUAAAUGGGAGUAGGCACAUCAGAGUCAUGGGUUUGUACAAGAUUUUCCAUAACCAAUUUCUGUAAAAUGUUAAGGAUCAAAAUGCAGUAAACAAAUUGUAAUGGAUGCUAACUUUCUGGAAACUCUUAAAGAUACAGUAUCACUUUAAGAAGAAAGGCCAUGUGCUCCGAACCAGUAUAUUUCUUUUACAAAAGAAAAUCAAGUUAGCUUGCAGCAUUUUUUUUUUUAACAUUAAUACAUAUCUGGAUUUUUUUUCCCCAUGCUUAAAGAAACACUAUAGGCAUCAAAACAACUUUGGCUUAAUGAAGCAGUUUUGGUGUAUAGAUCAUGCCCCUGAAGUCUCACUGCUCAAUUAUCUGCCAUUUAGGAGUUAAAUCCCUUUUGAUUCUGUUUAUGCAGCCCUGGCCACAACUCAGAUGUUAACUUGCUUCAGUAGUUUUUAUCUCUUGCUCUGUCAAUUUAACUUUCACACAAAAGGAGGCUCCUGCAGGGUCUAGAAGCCUAUUACCAGCUCAGGAGAUAUAAAAUUCUAAAUGAAACAAACUGUGCAAUAAAGGAAGUUUAAAUAUUAGAUAUCUCUUUAUAGGAAGUUUUUAGGAAGGCUGUCCAAGUCAUAUGCAGGGAGGUGUGACUAAGGCUUUAUAAACAAUGUGAUUUAACUCCUAAAUGGCAAAGAAUUCAUUAGUGAGACUGCAGGGCCAUGAUCUAUACACCAAAACCGCUUCACUAAGCUAAGGUUCUCUUUCUGCAUAAAGUGUCUCUUUAAGCAAUGUCAAACUAUCAAACAGUAGAUGAUAACCUUGAGGAAAGAUAGAAUUUUAAUUUCUAAACUUUCUUUUGGGUUUACGGAUACCAGUUAUUUGGCUUAUUUAGAAUUCUGAGUUAGUAAUACAAUCUCUACAUAUUGGAAAACCAACAUGUGCAAUCUGUUCUUAACAUAUAAAAAAAAUAAAUUAAAAACUAUAAAAAAAAAAAAACACACACUAAAAAACAUAAUUUUACGUAAAUCUAAGCACAUGGGUCACUCAUGGUUGGCUGCACACCCAGAGAAAAACCAUCUAGCUUUUAUGUUUUCUAUUACAUGGAGACAAUUGUAAGAUACUGGUUAGGAGUAUAUGGUAUUCACAUCAUUACGAAGGAUCUCAAUUUUAGCUGUCUGGUUUUGCAAAUUUGUAUUUAAGAAAAGAAAUGGUUAGCAAACACAGAAAUAGGCCAUUAGCUGUUUUCUGGAAUUAGUAGACCGGUGCAUUCGGUUCCAAACGAAUUGCGAUUUGUCUGCAUUUUGGGCGAUUAGCGAGCCAUCCAAGCUCUGCAGCAGGUGGACGCAUCACAAAGCAAACUAGACAGAAUAAUGGACAAGCAGUUUUGUGAUUUGGAAUUCCAUGUUUGGCUCCAUAAAAACAAAAACAAAAAAACGACAAUUGAGGGUUAGGCAGCUUAUAAAUGUUGAUUUUAUUCACCGAUCAAGUAAGAAGUGGCCCUAUAGAGGGGGAAAGGAAGAGCAGUAACAAAAUAAAAUUCUAUAAUUUAUAUAUUAUAGAUUUUUAAUGCUCCUCCUCUUUUUACCUCUACUGGUCACUUCUCACUUCUCCGUGUCCUGUUCCAAAUAAUUAUGCAAAUUCUAUUUAAGUGUCUCAAAGAUUAAAUAUUGUGUUUUUCAGUUUAACUCAUGGACGGCAUUGUGUCUCAUGUGGAGUUUCUGACUGACCACUUUCUUCCCUGGUACAGAGGGAAGAACUAUGCUUUCCGUAAUAAAAUCAUCUUCAUACAUGACAAUGCACCAUCUCAUGCUGCAAAGAAUACCUCUGCAUCAAUGGCUGCUAUGGGUAUAAAAGGAGAGAAAGUCAUGGUAUGGCCUCCAUCCUCUCCUGACCUCAAUCCUAUUGAGAACCUUUGGAGCAUCCUCAAGCAAAAGAUCUAUGUUUACAUCCAAACAGCAGCUCUGGGAGGCUAUUCUGACAUCUUGCAAACAAAUUCAAGCAGAAACUGUCCAAAAACUCACAAGUUCAAUGCAUGCACGACUUGUGGAGCUGCUAUCAAAUAAGGGGUCCUAUGUUAAAAUGUAGCGUGACCUGUUAAAAUGUUUAAAAAGUUAAAAUGUUGUUAUAAGUUUGAUUGAAAUAGCUUUUGAUUUCAGUAAAUAUGCUGCAAACACAACAAAUGACAAUUUUCAGUUCUUUACAACCUAUAAAGUGUUUUGAAACUUACUGUGCGUAAUAAUUUGGAACAGUGCAUUGUUCGUUUUUUAUGUUUAAAAAAAAUACUGUCACAUUAGGAGGUUUGUUCAAUAAAAUUUGAAUUGUACUCUUAAUAGUUGAUAACUUGAGAAUUAUGCUGACUGUUAUUUACAUCAAUUAUUUAGGUAAAUGAGAAAAAUAUAAUUUGCAUAAUAAUUUGGAACAGGGUGUAGUUUGAAUCGCUUUUUUCCCGAAACAAUCAUAUGGACGACAUUGGUCCGAACCAAAACCCCAAAUAAACAAAAUUUGGACCACCCAAACGAAAAAUUUUCAAGCUAAUCAGUUUGCUGUACACAAGUUUAGUGGUUAGUUGAUGGUCAGUGAAGUAACAAGAACAGAAUUUAUGUACCUCUAUGCAUCUACAGACUGAACACAUUGGAAAGCAACAUUGACCCAUACAAUUGACAACUCAAUUUUCCACAGUGCCCCGCAAACCUGGAGACUAAUAGUUGCAUCAUGGGAGAUGUAGUCCACGUUGCUUCCCACUGUUCCAGCAAAUAUGAUUCCUGGGACUUGUCCUGCAUUCUGGUGUGUGACCACCCCAGGACCCACAGGAAGGAGGAUGGAAAUAUAUGUGUUUUCCCCCUUAUUUGUGUAUGUCAGUUUGUUAAAGUGUGUGUAUCACUAUAUGGAAGAUUGAGCACGCCCAUCUUCACCUAUUGUUGCCGUAUGUCAUUUGUAUUUUGUUAGAACUAUCUGUCUUGUUUCCCUAAUAAACAGCACUGUGGAAUAUGUUGGCGUUAUAUAAAUAAUUGUAUUUGUAAGUUUGUCAUUUUAUGUCUGUGUCAUUGUAUGUGUCUGUGUGUCACUGUAUGUAUGUCUGUGGGAGUUCUUGCCACAAAGUGUCCCUGGAAUCUUUUUUUUAAAUGUUGGCAACUAUGAUUACUGUCCGCAGCAUCCACGUCAGCAGCUGUUGCCUACACUUGUAGUACAAUAUAAAAGGAUAGCGCUUAAAGGAGAGAUGAUGAGGAACUGCACUAUUCUUACACCUUACAAUUACCUGAGCAAUAUUAGCAUUGUUCUCUCUGUGCAACACUGACUCCCUUCUUUCAUCGAUAAAUAAAUGUGCAGAUAUCCAGCAUUAUACAGAAAGGAUAAACACAGCAAUAGGUCGUGCUCCCAGCAUGUACAAUAGUGUACUCCGAAAAAAAGUCAAAGUCAUGCAUUACAGGCUUAAAUGGUAAAAUAUUAACAUAUCGACAAAGUGUAACAAUGGAGACUUUCAAGUUGCAGUGCCUAUGAUUUACAGUGGCGUAACUAAUAAAAUUAUGCUUUACAAACAGGGUAAAAUUGAAUGCUCAGACUUUUCAGGCACAAAUAUUACAGUUCCAAGUCCUGACCCUAGAGAGACAAUAUGUAACAGAAUUUGGGUACCCAGGUUCUUAAAAAAAACUAGAGAAAUUGUAAACAGGGGUUUUGACUAAAUGGGGAACUGUGGAGAGUUACAAUGGAAUCGACUGUAAAUUUAAGGCCAAAACAGCCACAUUUCAUAAAUCUGUGGCUAUUUUUAGUUAAAGUUUACAGUUAGUUUUCUAGAAGUUCACAAUUCAUAGAGGAGUGUAUUCCUCCCCGUAAGACACUUUCUGAAGAAAUUAAACAGUUAGACAUUGGUCCAAGCAGAUCCGAAAUAGGUUAUAUAAUUAACUGGUUCACUUAUAGUGAAAGUAUUAUUAGCCAUUGAGUUGAUCAAGUGCUUUUACGUGGUCCAUAGGACCCCUAGAAAAGAUUAAGGUUCUAGAUAGGGGCCCUCCUUCUGAACCAAUUGUGCAUGGAUUCUAAGAACCCCAAUGUAACCAAGGCAGAAUUUAAACGAUAGACCUUCCAUCAUCCUGUGUUCAAUAGUGUGACGGGUUGACAAUCAGUGCUGUGCAAUGCCCAGCUUCUAUGCUCCACUCUACUGCCCAAAAACCCCAACAAAAAAAUAAAUCCCUAUUUAGUAGAUAUUCCUCCAAUGAAAACAUGACUAUUUUUUAGCAUGCGUUUUGUCAUUGGGGACAUAUCUAAAAACAACUUGCAAAAACGGCAGAUCUCUUGUCUGAUGCCUUUGCAAACCCUCCCCUUCAAAUCCCGCCCAGACUGUCUGUGGCUGUCCAAUCACAAACUUUGCAAUGCAGCUCAAUGAGAAGUAUUUGGAAGGCAGGUGCUCUGGGGAAUUGCUACCUGUUGAGUUUAGCUCCACUGAGCUAAACAACCAGAAAGUAACAGGAUUGGUUGACAGUCAGUAGGUGUAACAAUUCAAAUUUAUAAAAGUGGGGGGAAAAAACAAAACACUUUAGCAAGUUGCACAUUGCCGCUUUAAGUGUUGGAUCACAGUGGUAAAUAUAUAAAAAAUAAAAUUCAGGUAUUAGAAGAGAUUGUUUAGCUUUUUGCAGAGGGGGUUUCCAUAAAGCAUAAUGAUUGGACCCAAAUGUUGAAGUUUUUUAAACAAGGUUUCAACACCCUAGAUCUGCUAUGUCCGCAGUUUAUAUUAAUAGGAUAGUGUAGGUUACAGGAAGACCUGCUCUAGAGACUAGGCUUGAAAUCUUUCCUGUGUUUAGCUGGUUCAGUAAGAUUGGCCAUGGUGGUGGUCUUGGAGGUUGAAAAUGAAGAUUGAACAAUGUGGGCGGAACAUGUUGUUCAUGUAAAGAUGGCAGUUUUAGGUUAAAUAUGUAAGUAUGCACGAGGAAGAGGGUGUAUGAGGUAGAGUGGGUGUAUGUAGUAUACAUAUAUACACAUGUUUGAGGUAGAAUGCGUGCAUGUAUGUGUGUGUAUUGAGAAAUCAAACUCUCCAAACAUCUUCUAGAUGAACCUCGCCCUGACAAAAUGUAAAAAUACAUCCCAAUUUCUUUUGGAAAGGACCAACCCUUGCAAUUUUUGUCUUACCAUUACCAUGGUCAUUUUUGUAAAUCUGGUAACUUUAACUUAGACAAAGGUGAAGCAAUUUGCUAUAGUAGGAUGGACAGUGGUUCCAAGGAUAGCUACAGUUCACGUGUUUCCUCAUCUACUGCUAUGUUCCAAUAUAAUAAAACAUGCUUCAUUGAGUUUCAUAAAUAUUAGCAAAAUAUCACAGGACAACCAGAAAAACCUUCCUCAUACUGUGGGGGCCUGAUAGAGAGGAAGUCAGGUGUGCGGUGUCAGGGAUUGGGGGUCCAUCUUCGGGUUUAAAGGAUCACUAUAGGGUCAGGAAUGCUAACAUGUAUUCCUGACCCUAUAGUGCUAAACUCAACAUAGGAAAAGCAUUGGAUUGGCUAAAAUCUGCACGAGGCGGGGCUAAAUUAUGUUAUGGCCAAUCAGGAUCUCCUCAUAGAGAUGCAUUGAAUCAAUGUAUCUAUAUGAGGUAAAUUCAGUGUCUCCAUGCAGAGCUUUUUCGGCAGCCCAGAACCAGGAAGCCCCUCCAGUGGCCAUCUAAGGAGUGUCUCUCAAUGUAAACACUGCCUUUUCUCUGAAUGCCUGAAGGGAGCUAUUAUACUCACCAGAACAAGUACAUUAAGCUGUAUGUGUUCUGGUGACUAUAGUGUCCCUUUAAACCACUGGAAAUCAGUUUAACUAGAGUUAAGACUACGCAGAGACACCCCUACCACUAUAACAACGUCAAUGAGCUAAGUUGUAUUGGGUGGUAAUGUUACUUCAAGACCUUAAUGUGUAUAUGAAGUGUCAGGUGCAAAGGACAGGGCUUGUAACAAUGAAUGACGGGAAUCUAAGAUGGAGGCUCCCAGGUGUGGAUUUACACACUUAAUGUUUUAUUUCCACACCUCACAUGUGCAUACAUUUGUUAAAUAUAAGGGAUAAGUAAACUUAAUAUUAACAAAAACUGGGAAACUUCAUUUUAAGCUAUUUUAUCCCACCAGUUAAAAUUUGUUAGUGGUAAAACACCCAUAAAAAUAGGUGUAAAAUAAUUCUAAUCUAAUCUCUGCUACGGAAAUAACCUCUAAGGACCUGGGUAUUGACACCGUUUGGAGUGAGACUGGUAAUGGGUAAACUGACUGAAGAAGAUCCUUUAAUGAAUCUACGGUAAUAGUUUGAGAAUCCUAUAAAUCUUUGCUUUCAAACUCUUGGACAUUGGCCAGUGCAAGACAGCCUCUAAUUUGUUUGGAUCCAUUCAAAACCAUAAGCCAAUAUAAUAUAACCUAAGAAUUGUAGUUUUGAUUGACGGAACAAACAUUUCUUCAUUCUGGAACAGAGUGUUCAGUACUUGUCUCACAUGUGCCUGGUCAAUGGACAGGUCAAGUGUAUAAAUAAGUAUACUGUCUAAAUACACAAGAACAAAUUAAUCUAUGUAUUCCCUUAAUACAUCAUUAAUAAAGUCUCAACUUAUACUACACUCUCCAUUAUUCUUACUCAGGAGCGCUCAGAGCACAGAACUGCAACCUGUCAGAUCAGGGAGAGGGAACAGGAGGGCUGGGGGUGGUCUUGGAGGUUGAAAAUGAAGAUUGAACAAUGAGGGCGGAACGUGUUGUUCAUGUAAAGAUGGCAGUUUUAGGUUAAAUAUGUAAGUAUGCACAAGGAAGAGGCACACAGAGGGCUGGGGGGUUUGAUGAGAGGCACACAGAGGGCGGGGGGGUGAGGAGAGGCACACAGAGGGCUGGGGUGAGGAGAGAGGCAACACAGAGGCUGGGGUGAGGAGAGGCACACAGAGGGCUGGGGGGGUGAGGAGAGGCACACAGAGGGCUGGAGGGGUGAGGAGAGGCACACAGAGGGCUGGAGGGGUGAGGAGAGGCACACAGAGGGCUGGAGGGGUGAGGAGAGGCACACAGAGGGCUGGGGGGGUGAGGAGAGGCACACAGAGGGCUGGGCAGGUGAGGAGAGGCACACAGAGGGCUGGGCAGGUGAGGAGAGGCACACAGAGGGCUGGGCAGGUGAGGAGAGGCACACAGAGGGCUGGGUGAUGAGGAGAGGCAAGCGGAGGGUUGGGAGAUGCACAAAGAGGGCUGGGGGUAAGGAAAGGCUCACAGAUGGCUGGGGGUCGGGAGAUGCACAAAGAGGGCUGGGGGUAAGGAAAGGCUCACAGAUGGCUGGGGGUCAGGAGAGGCUCACCGAGGGCUGGGGGUCAGGAGAGGGUCACCGAGGGCUGGGCACACAGAGGACUGAGGGGUGAGUAGAGGCACACAGAGGGCUGGGGGGUGAGGAGAGGCACACAGAGGGCUGGUGGUUGAGGAGAGGCAAGUGGAGGGUUGGGAAGAUGCACAAAGAGGGCUGGGGGUAAGGAAAGGCUCACAGAUGGCUGGGGGGUGAGGAGAGGCUCAUCGAGGGCUGGGAGUAAGAGGAGGCUCACCAAGGGCUGGGAGUAAGGAGAGACUCCACCAGGGCUGGGG
rnacentral:lncRNA from 1 species